UUUUUUUGUUAUAUAAAACUUGCAUAAACAUUCAUCCUGUUAGUGUGAUUUCAAAUAAGUUUUCAUUUUUAUUUUUUUUUUUAACAUUAUACAUUUAAUUAAAGUGAGAAGUAUCAUAUAGCAUAAACAAAUAAAUUAAACACAUACAAAGUAAUAAAAAAAAAAAAAAAAAAAAAAAAAAAAAAAAAAAAAAAAAAAAAAAACAUGAAAAGGUAAGGUAAUGUAGAAUAGGGUAAAAUGGCAUUGUUAGAAGCUAAAAACAUAUACAUAUAUAUAUAUUGCAGAACUUUUUUGACUUAUUAAAAAAAAAAAAAAUUAUGUCAUAACAAUUUUAUUGAUGAGUUAAAAUUAAUAGUAAAUAAAACCACAUAUAUUAUUUUAUUUGCUCAUCCAUUCGUUUGCUCAUUCAUCCGAUUGCUUAUUUACUUAUUUUUAUUUUUUUAACUUAAAAGGAUAGUAGUAAUUUAAUUUAAGUUAGGCUACAAAAAGAAAAAAAAACGAGUAUAACAUCACAUAACAUAUAUAUAUAUAUAUAUAUAUAUAUAAGUAUGUUUAUGAACGCUUGCAUGUAUGUGGUCAGUUGAAAAAACAUGCUGCUCAUCUCGUACAUUUAGGUUCUUGUAUGUAAGUACCUAUAUUCAUGUUUUGUUCUUUCACGAAUAUUUGGUUUAUAUAUUAUUUAUACAUACAAAUAUACGUAUUUGCGAAUAAUCAUGAUAGGUUUUUUUACUUCUUGAAGAUAAUAAACAACUAAAUUUUUCUUACACGAAAAAUCCUGAAUAUUUUAAAACCACCUUUUUCUUCAUUUAUAAAUAUAUAUACAUGCACACACUAUGGAAGAAACACAAAUUGCGAGGGUUUUGGAUUUAUUUAAUUUAAAAAAAAAAUGAUAUGGGUUAUAUUGAUAAGCAAGAGCUCAUAACAAUACUGAAAUCUUUAGGGUUUAUAAUAUGUAAUGAUAUGUUCGUAAAUAAUAAAAAUUUCUACACGAUUGAUGAUUUAAAUGACUUUGUUUAUAAACUUAAAGUAAUUAUUAUGCGAAGAAGAAAGUUGAAAAAUGUAUUCAAUUUUUAA
rnacentral:lncRNA from 1 species